ensembl:lncRNA
AGGAUCUGGAUAAAGCCGGACACCAGGAGAUCUUGCUCAUUCCCAGCCCAGGGGAGCCACCAAGAAGAGAAGAAUGGAGACACCACCUAAAGCCAAAUAUCGGAGUCAUGGUAGAUUUCACCCUGAGGAGACCAGAAAGGGGAUGUUCGGGCUGAAGCUGAAGAAGAAGAAGAAGAAAGCAGAGAAGGGGUUAAUCCUAGCCAACAAGGGGGCCCAAGGUGAGGCGUUUUGGGGGUGGGGAGGGACCACUACCCUGGGGCCUACUGGUCUCACAGACUUGAUGGCUCC